rnacentral:rRNA from 1 species
CCUACGGGAGGCAGCAGUGGGGAAUAUUGGGCAAUGGGCGCAAGCCUGACCCAGCAACGCCGCGUGAAGGAAGAAGGUACUCGGGUUGUUAACUCCCUUUAAGAGGGAAGAGCAGAAGACGGCACCUCUUGAAUAAGCCACGGCUAACUACGUGCCAGCAGCCGCGUUAAUACGUAGGUGGCAAGCGUUGUCCGGAUUUACUGGGUGUAAAGGGCGUGCAGCCGGGAAGACAAGUCAGAUGUGAAAUCCCGCGGCUCAACCGCGGACCUGCAUUUGAAACUGGGUUUCUUGAGUACCGGAGAGGUAAGCGGAAUGCGUUGUGUAGCGGUGAAAUGCAUAGAUAUAAGGAAGAACACCGGUGGCGAAGGCAGAAGACUGGA